GGUUACAUUUGGUGCACUUGGCAUCUGGUCUUUGUAAACACUAAAUUUUGUCCGGGAUUAAUUUUCAAAAAAAAAAUACAAAAAUAAAAAAUUACAUUUUAACCCCUCAACUUUUUUAAAAAUUACAUUUUGACCCCUAAACUUUCCUAAAAUUACAUUUUAGCCCAUCAACUUUUUAAAAUUAUAUUUUGACCCCUAAAUUUUCUCAAAAUAAUGCUUGGCUCCAAAAGUUUUGCUGCAUUUGCGAUUUGGUCCCUCUAGCAGACAGGAGCGAUUUGCGCACCUGCCAUCCGUGAUUUUCGGCCGUUGACCCAGUGCAUGGCCUCCCCUCUCCGCUGCCACCUAAAAACAAAGAGAAAGAAGACAAAAAUCAAGAGAUUAAAAAGAAAAUAAAAAGAGAGAGGGAGGGGGAUAGCAAUAAAAAAAACAAACAAUAGAAGCAAAAAAUUUUCAAAACAGCAGCAGCUCCUGCAGUCGCACCAGCGCCACCGUGCCCACCACCGCAGCACCACCAUCGCCCACACCUAGCAAAGCAAGCAAGAAUCCAAAAAAGAAAAAAACAAGAAGCAAAAUCCAAAAGAAAAAAGAGAGAAAAGCUUCGAAAAAAGAGAGAAAAAAGAAGGAAAGGAGAAGAGAGAAGGAAGAGAAGAGGAGAGCCCGACCACAGCCAUCGAGGGCAGAGGAGAUCGACGCAAGCGGUGGCGGCGGUGAAAGAGGCUACAGCCAAAAGAGGGAAGGAAGAAGAAGAGAAGAAAGAAAGAAAAAAAGAAAAAAAGGGAAAGAAAAAAGAAAGAAAAAAUAAUAAAAAAUAAUAUAUCAGGUCGACCCGACCCGAAUUCAACCCGCGAACCGACCCAACAGGCCCAGCAGUAGCAGGCCAGCCCAAAAAAUACCAAAGCAAAAAAAAAGCAGCAAAAAAAAAGAAAAAAGAAGAAGAAAGAAGCAGCCCAAAUGCAGGCCUAGCGCAGCAGCAGGCCUAGCAAGCCCCCAGGCCCAGCGCAGUAGCAGACCACCCACACCAGUAGGCCAGCCCAAGCCAGCAGCCUAACCGGCCAGCCCAG
rnacentral:lncRNA from 1 species